rnacentral:rRNA from 1 species
GAUGAACGCUGGCGGCGUGCCUAAUACAUGCAAGUCGAGCGAACAGACGAGGAGCUUGCUCCUCUGACGUUAGCGGCGGACGGGUGAGUAACACGUGGAUAACCUACCUAUAAGACUGGGAUAACUUCGGGAAACCGGAGCUAAUACCGGAUAAUAUAUUGAACCGCAUGGUUCAAUAGUGAAAGACGGUUUUGCUGUCACUUAUAGAUGGAUCCGCGCCGCAUUAGCUAGUUGGUAAGGUAACGGCUUACCAAGGCGACGAUGCGUAGCCGACCUGAGAGGGUGAUCGGCCACACUGGAACUGGGACACGGUCCAGACUCCUACGGGAGGCAGCAGUAGGGAAUCUUCCGCAAUGGGCGAAAGCCUGACGGAGCCACGCCGCGUGAGUGAUGAAGGUCUUCGGAUCGUAAAGCUCUGUUAUUAGGGAAGAACAAAUGUGUAAGUAACUAUGCACGUCUUGACGGUACCUAAUCAGAAAGCCACGGCUAACUACGUG